rnacentral:rRNA from 1 species
GACGAACGCUGGCGGCGUGCCUAAUACAUGCAAGUAGAACGCACAGUUUAUACCGUAGCUUGCUACACCAUAGACUGUGAGUUGCGAACGGGUGAGUAACGCGUAGGUAACCUGCCUGGUAGCGGGGGAUAACUAUUGGAAACGAUAGCUAAUACCGCAUAAUAUUAAUUAUUGCAUGAUAAUUAAUUGAAAGGUGCAAUUGCACCACUACCAGAUGGACCUGCGUUGUAUUAGCUAGUAGGUGAGGUAACGGCUCACCUAGGCGACGAUACAUAGCCGAACUGAGAGGGUGAUCGGCCACACUGGGACUGAGAACCGGCCCAGACUCCUACGGGAGGCAGCAGUAGGGAAUCUUCGGCAAUGGACGAAAGUCUGACCGAGCAACGCCGCGGGAGUGAAGAAGGUUUUCGGAUCGUAAAGCUCUGUUGUAAGAGAAGAACGGGUGUGAGAGUGGAAAGUUCACACUGUGACGGUAUCUUACCAGAAAGGGACGGCUAACUACGUG